AAGUCGUAACAAGGUUUCCGUAGGUGAACCUGCGGAAGGAUCAUUACCAAGUUUAAUCCAAAAAACACUCAACCCAUGUGCACUAUGCUUUGUCUGUCUUUGGGGUGGAAAGAAUCUAGAGGGUCUAAUAUACUUGGCCACUAGUUGAUUUCGCCCCACAUUUGUAAACAUCCUUUUUAUUUUCUAUUGGAAUCUUACUUGUCUUAAUAAACAAUAGACAACUUUUAACGGUGGAUCUCUUGGCUCGU
rnacentral:misc_RNA from 1 species